CAUUAAGAAGCUAUGAAUCAGCAUUAGCCUUUUAAGCUAAAGAAAGAGGACCCUCCCCUCCUUAAUGA
rnacentral:tRNA from 1 species